UGACAUGGGCAGCUUGUAUUUUCUGAAAGUAAUAAUGACCAAAAUAAACAUCAUUCCUGUCAGUUAAGUACCACCAUGCUUAAGGUAAGUUUUGAAAUGAGCAGACAGCAAAGAUUCAAUAACAGAGAAAAGACCAAAGAAUAAUCAAGUCAAUAUGUGCAAUUUAAAGGCAUCCUUAUACAAACAUACCUUUGGCCACCACCCUCUUCAUCAUCACCUGGCUCCUCGUCAAGUACUUCAAAUCUGCACAUCAAGUUGAAGAACUUAAUAGAGAAACCUUCUGUUUUAAAUGACCUAUUAAAGCAAUAAUCUCUCAAUAUUAAGUCCCAUCACAUUUUUUGAAAAAGUAAAGAUUAACAAUUUAAUCAACAGGCAGAGGGGGAAAAUGCCAACAAGCAACUCAGGGUAUGCUCCAUAAUCCACUUACUAACACUAUUCCUUCACUUGAUGAGCCAAAGCUUUGAACUAUGGACAGUGCCUAGAAAAAGUCAACCUUGACUUAAACUUGCAAACAUAAGAUAUAUGAAGCCCUGAGAAUCAGUGACCAAAAUAUCUCAGAGAAAUAAGGUUUAAAAUAUAUUUGUCACA
rnacentral:misc_RNA from 1 species